UUACUUUCCAGUGACUCAAACCUCUCCUAAACUGCUCUCUCAGUUUUGGCUCCGUCUUCCCAUGAUAAUAAUAGGUGGUGUAGAGAGGUGACAGAGUCAAGGAACAUGGUUCUUGUUUUCUGAAGAUGGUUCUUUCCUCAAGCCCUUUGAGUCUUCUUUGGUCUUAUAUUCUCAUCACAGAAGGAGAGGUGAUUGUCUUUCCCCAGUUUUGUCUACCAUUCCGGUUCCAUCUGCAUUCCCGGAGGAGUCCUGUUGAGGGCAGAGUGACUGUGAGCAAAACAAGAAGAGCUGUGUCACCAAGUUCCAUAAAAUCUGGGAGCCCAAGCAGCAUAUUUGUGGGAUUUGUCUGACAGAACGCAAUGGAAACAGAGCGUGGCAUUCGCUCCAUCUCCCCCAGGUCACCUGUGGAGAAAGAAACAUCAUCUCUCAACAGAGGAUUGUUCCUCCGUUUGAUGAUACGUGCAUCCUGC
rnacentral:lncRNA from 1 species